GCAGUAGCCACGGUAAUACGGAGGGUGCAAGCGUUAAUCGGAAUUACUGGGCGUAAAGCGCACGCAGGCGGUCUGUUAAGUCAGAUGUGAAAUCCCCGGGCUCAACCCGGGAACUGCAUUUGAAACUGGCAGGCUUGAGUCUUGUAGAGGGGGGUAGAAUUCCAGGUGUAGCGGUGAAAUGCGUAGAGAUCUGGAGGAAUACCGGUGGCGAAGGCGGCCCCCUGGACAAAGACUGACGCUCAGGUGCGAAAGCGUGGGGAGCAAACAGGAUUAGAUACCCCUGUAGUCCCUGUCUCUUAUAC
rnacentral:rRNA from 1 species